rnacentral:tRNA from 1 species
UAGCUCAGUUGGUAGAGCAUGGCACUUGCAAUGCCAGGGUUGUGGGUUUGAUUCCCAU